CCUACGGGCGGCUGCAGUGGGGAAUAUUGGACAAUGGGGGCAACCCUGAUCCAGCCAUGCCGCGUGUGUGAAGAAGGCCCUCGGGUUGUAAAGCACUUUCAGUGAGGAAGAACGCCUGGUGGUUAAUACCCAUCAGGAAAGACAUCACUCACAGAAGAAGCACCGGCUAACUCCGUGCCAGCAGCCGCGGUAAUACGGAGGGUGCGAGCGUUAAUCGGAAUUACUGGGCGUAAAGCGCGCGUAGGUGGCUUGAUAAGCCGGUUGUGAAAGCCCCGAGCUCAACCUGGGAACGGCAUCCGGAACUGUCAAGCUAGAGUGCAGGAGAGGAAGGUAGAAUUCCCGGUGUAGCGGUGAAAUGCGUAGAGAUCGGGAGGAAUACCAGUGGCGAAGGCGGCCUUCUGGACUGACACUGACACUGAGGUGCGAAAGCGUGGGUAGCAAACAGGAUUAGAUACCCCGGUAGUC
rnacentral:rRNA from 1 species